rnacentral:rRNA from 1 species
CAACCUGCCCGAAAGACCGGGACAACAGCUCGAAAGGGCUGCUAAUACCGGAUGUGUCCACUUUGCCUCAUGGCUUGGUGAGUAAAUCAUUUAUGGCUUUCGGAGGGGCUUGCGGCCUAUCAGCUAGAUGGCGGUGUAACGGACCACCAUGGCGACGACGGGUAGCUGGUCUGAGAGGAUGGUCAGCCGGACUGGGACUGAGAUACGGCCCAG